rnacentral:lncRNA from 1 species
GUUUCCACAGCUUGAAGCCGAUGAACGUGAGAGGCAGGAGCACCAACCAGAGGGGCAGACCAGUACUCCACGAGGCUGCAGAUGAAAGCUUUGUACGUGAUCAGGAACUAAGGUGUGCCAAGGAAAGACUUUGCAUGACUGAGGAUGUCCAGUCGGCGACUGGUUUUGGAGGCCAGCUUGGAAAUGUGGUUUUCCCUGAAAAGAUUAUGGCAGACAGACCCAGAAGCUUGAAUGAAAGGACUUCUUCAAGAGGAUUGUUGAGAAAGAUGGGGGUGGGGUUGGGGGGGGUGUUUCAGACAUUCCUUUUGGAGAGGCAUCAUUCUAUAUUGGUUCUGAUGUAUUUCUUGAUGGCUGGCAGAUGGCCUUGAGGUAUGCACACUCGCCUCUCAGCUGUCUCGCCUGGGUUUGAAGCCCGACCCAACUAUAAAUUGUCAUCUCUGUGUUUCACAGACAAUGCGAUUCAUCAAUGUGCAUGCCGUUCCUCGGAUGGAUGUUUAACGGGUGUCCCAUCUGCUGGCAUUAGUUUGUGGAUGCUGAAGAUCCCAUGUCAUCCUUCACGAAGAGUCGGCAAGCUAUCGCUGGCACCCUGGUCGAAUUCCAAAUUCCUGCGCCAACUACUUUGUCAAAGGUCUAUGAAAACAAACGGAGAUUGCUUCAGCCUUCUCUUUCCAUUUCGACGACAUCCUGGGCUAUCGGAUACUUACACGAGACGAGCGACAUUCAGCGUGGAUCAACAGAAGAACCAAAGACUCUCGAAGGAAUCGUUUCGUUGGUUUCUGAAUCGAGUGCAAGAUGACCUGGAUCACCCUAUGAUGAGGACCAUUGUGCCGAAUCCCCCUCCAACAAUUGUCCAUGGUGCUGUGAUUCUAGGCAAGUGCAUAAUUUCAAUUGGAUGUUGGAGAUGCGUGCGGUGUUUCACAGGCUUUAUUGUAUUUAUUUGUAUGCAGCCUGUGGCUGCUUGGCUGCAUCAUCUUUUGGAGAGUGCGGCUGUACUGCUGAUGCAGUACCCCCUGUUACCAGGAGGCUGGUACUCAUUUUGCCAAACUCGGAAGGAUGACAGUCAACCCACCUAGUGUUAAUUCAACAAGAAGACAGGGGCUUGAACACGAGACCUUAAGAUCUUAAGUCAGCCAUCCUAACCGUUAUGCCAAGACCAGACUUCAUGAUAGGGUGACCAUCCAGGAGUCCUGAUUUAACCCUGUGAAAUUUUUCUUUUGAGGGGAUUGUCUAAAGAAGUGUAUGCCAACGAACCCCCUCAUUUGGGAAAAUUAGAAAAAAUGUUUUUUGCUGAUUUCUGGAGGAGUAUUUUUUGCCGUUAAAUGGAAGAUGUUGUCGAAGUUCUGUGUUAUCUCAAAAAAUGUU